rnacentral:siRNA from 1 species
UAGACAAAUUCACUUCUCUCUUA